AAAUAAGAAAUAAAAUUUUAUAUUUAGUUUCGACCUAAAAAAUUGGCUUUUGCCCUUAUUUA
rnacentral:tRNA from 1 species